rnacentral:rRNA from 1 species
UCAGGCGUCGAGCGGCGGACGGGUGAGUAAUACUUAGGAAUCUACCUAGUAGUGGGGGAUAGCUCGGGGAAACUCGAAUUAAUACCGCAUACGACCUACGGGAGAAAGGGGGCAACUUGUUGCUCUCGCUAUUAGAUGAGCCUAAGUCGGAUUAGCUAGAUGGUGGGGUAAAGGCCUACCAUGGCGACGAUCUGUAGCUGGUCUGAGAGGAUGAUCAGCCACACCGGGACUGAGACACGGCCCGGACUCCUACGGGAGGCAGCAGUGGGGAAUAUUGGACAAUGGGGGCAACCCUGAUCCAGCCAUGCCGCGUGUGUGAAGAAGGCCUUUUGGUUGUAAAGCACUUUAAGCAGUGAAGAAGACUCCAUGGUUAAUACCCAUGGACGAUGACAUUAGCUGCAGAAUAAGCACCGGCUAACUCUGUGCCAGCAGCCGCGGUAAUACAGAGGGUGCAAGCGUUAAUCGGAAUUACUGGGCGUAAAGCGAGCGUAGGUGGCUUGAUAAGUCAGAUGUGAAAUCCCCGGGCUUAACCUGGGAACUGCAUCUGAUACUGUUAGGCUAGAAUAGGUGAGAGGAAGGUAGAAUUCCAGGUGUAGCGGUGAAAUGCGUAGAGAUCUGGAGGAAUACCGAUGGCGAAGGCAGCCUUCUGGCAUCAUAUUGACACUGAGGUUCGAAAGCGUGGGUAGCAAACAGGAUUAGAUACCCUGGUAGUCCACGCCGUAAACGAUGUCUACUAGUCGUUGGGUCCCUUGAGGACUU